UUUCAGACAUGCAAGUCGAACGGAAAGUGGUGUUUCCAGUGGCGAACGGGUGAGUAACGCGUAAGAACCUGCCCUUGGGAGGGGAACAACAACUGGAAACGGUUGCUAAUACCCCGUAGGCUGAGGAGCAAAAGGAGAAAUCCGCCCAAGGAGGGGCUCGCGUCUGAUUAGCUAGUACUUUUCGAAGAUCUCUUCCUUCUCUUCGAGAUCGAACAUCAAUUGCAACGAUUCGAUAGACAGCUUAUUGGGAUAGAUGUAGAUAA
rfam:Oryza nivara chromosome 2, whole genome shotgun sequence.